GCCCCGAUGGUGUAGUUGGUUAUCACGUGGGUCUCAUAUCAGAGAUUUGAUUCGACCGAGAGCGCCUUGCGCUUGCCAUCCCGAGGUCAGCAGUUCGAUCCUGCUUCGGGGCA